rnacentral:tRNA from 1 species
GCUGUCACGCCGGUAUGAACGGAUUACUUUGAUGAAGUAAAAAAUGGGACAAUUCCCUGACAUCU